AUACUGAUAAACAAUCAGCUUAUCAAGAUUAACCUAAUAUUCAAUCAUAAAUAUAUAAACAGGUAAUGUUCAAGAAAGUUGCAGAAAUUGAGCCACAUUAUAUAGCACAUGCUUAAACAUUACAGGAGAACAAAUUGGAGGGUGUCAUUUAGCUACCUGUUUGCACCUUUAAUUCAUUCAAAAUCAUCAUAACCAAAGACAUCUCUGUUAGCAAUGACUAUAAUUAGACAACAGGAAAAAGUGGUAGCAUUUAUCAGACAACUCAAGGGCAACAAUAUAUCACAAUUUAAAUUAUGACAAAUUUAUCACACACCUCCUAAAGCAGUACAUCACAUCAAUCAACCAUGGUUAGCAGCUCAACAUAUAAACAGCCCAGACAGGGUAACAUCAGACCAUAAUAUUGAGGAGAGAGAGAGAGAGAGAGUGUGUGUGUGUGUGUGUGUGACAGUAGGAGGGAUGGGUGGGAGACACUAAGGGCCUGUUCACUCCUAGAAAACUGGAGUAGUUUUCUUGAAAAAGAAAAAGUAUUUUAAGAAAACUGAAAAAUUAGAAUUCCAUGUCCACAUGUCAGUUUUCCAAAUGGAGAACUGGACAACUAAUUUUUCUAUUCUUCUGAUUAUUUUCCAAAUGGAAAACAAUGGUUCUUUACAAUUAUAUUGUGAGAUUAUCAUAAUUAUAAAUUUUAUUAUAUAAUUAUAAAUUAAUUAAUUAAUACAUGGUAAAAAAAUUUAAAUAAAAUAAUUAAAUUUUUAAAAUAUUUUUUAAUGAUUUAUUUUUUAAUUAUACAAGUUACUAAUACUUUUUAUUAUUGAAAUAGAAAAUAAUUUUUUUUCAUUGAUAGGUGAAUAUGUUUUCUAUCGUUUCCUCUGUUUUCCUUAGAAAAUGAAAAGUAGGUUCUCUUAGAAGAUAGAAAAUAGAGAACAGAGCUCCAUUUUCUAUAAGUAAAUACAUCUCCCUUAAAGAAUAGGGGCAUUCGAGAAACUAAAAGAUACAAUUCACAACUUCAU
rnacentral:lncRNA from 1 species